UACGUAGGGGGCAAGCGUUGUCCGGAAUUAUUGGGCGUAAAGCGCUCGCAGGCGGUCCUUUAAGUCUGAUGUGAAAUCUCGCGGCUCAACCGCGAACGGUCAUUGGAAACUGGAGGACUUGAGUACAGAAGAGGAGAGUGGAAUUCCACGUGUAGCGGUGAAAUGCGCAGAGAUGUGGAGGAACACCAGUGGCGAAGGCGACUCUCUGGUCUGUAUCUGACGCUGAGGAGCGAAAGCAUGGGUAUCAAAUAGG
rnacentral:misc_RNA from 1 species